GGUGAGGUCGCAUAGCGGACUAGUGCAGUGGUCUUGAAAACCACCGUAGUCAUUUUUUGGCUACCGAGGGUUCGAAUCCCUCCCUCACCG
rnacentral:tRNA from 1 species